GCAUUGUGUCAGUGACUCAUGACCACAGCAGAUGGAGCAGUGAGUCACCUACCUGAUGUUAUUAGACUUGUGACAACAAGAAAGGAGAUGAAACCUCUCAACUGUAUCUGCUUUCCAGACCACAGAAAUACAGCACAUUGAAUUUGCUUUGGCUUACACAGACUGCAAAGCCUGAUUCCAGGCAUCAAGAAGUCCCCCAAAGGUCACACAACAAAUUGCUCCUCGAACCUUCCUCAAAACGGUCUACAGGACUGGAAAACAAAAGUGUUUUUUAAUCUGAGGGAUUCUGUAACCUCUGUUGAACUGCAAGGCUGAGCUUCUUGAUGCCUGAGCAUGUCUCAGAGGGCGUCAUGGCACCUGGGAGUCUGCACCAUGCACAGGUCUCUGGAAUCUGUUUUGUGCUGUGGAGUGUAUGAAGUUCACACAGGACCUGUGGAGUUCAUACAGGACCUGGUUUCCCUGAGGUUCAUGGAAAGACCAUUACUCUUAUCACUUCUCUGCUAGCUCAGAGGUCAGAAACAGCCCAGCAGGAAACAACCACGUGCUACAGUGAUCUGCCCAAGCCAAACCAUCUCGGCACUGGGGCAUCUGCCCCACCAGGGCUUGGCUGCUUGCCCAGAACCUGCUGCUGGUAUGGCCAGGGGGAAUGAGACCAAGCUUCCUUUGCACUAAUUCCUGCAUCCAUAGGGAUGAGGAGGCAGGUGAAAUGGACAAUCCCCUUCCAUGUGGGACCCUGGUAUAUGUUGCAUCCACUCGGCAUGAGAGCUCACCAGAGGCACACAAGGUACAGAUGGGCAGACCUCGGUAUUUCCAGUUUCACUUGACUGCUUGUAUUAGGUUUGCCUGGCAAGGUUUUGGUAGCGGGGGGCUGCAGGGGUGGCUCCUGUCAGAAGCUGCUAGAAGUUUGCUCCAUGUCCAGUAUAGCCAAUGCCAGCCAGCUCCAGGAUGGACCUGCUGCUGGCUGAGGCCGAGCCCAUCAGCAAUGGUGGUAGCACCUCUGGGAUAAUGUAUUUAAGAAGGGGGAAAAAAGCAGAGCAACAGCAAUUGCAGCUGGAGAGAGGAGUGAGAAUAUGUGAGAGGAACAGCCCUGCAGACACCAAAGUCAGUGAAGAAGGAGAGGGAGGGGGUGCUCCGGGCUCUGAAGCAGAGAUUCCCCUGCAGCCUGUGGUGCAGACCAUGGUGAGGCAGCCACGCUCCAGCAGCCCAGGGGUGACCCCAUACCAGAGCAGGUGACUGCCCAAGGGAGGGUGGAAUCCCAUGGGAAUCCCACGCUGGAGCAGGCUGUUCUGGAAGGACUGCACCCUGUGGAAGGGACCCCUGCUGAAGCAGCUCACGAAGAACCGCAGACCUUGGGAAGGACUCACACUGGAGAAGUUCAUGGAAAAUUGUCUCCUGUGGGAGGGACCCCACAUCGGGAGCAGGGAAAGAGUAUAAAGGAGUCCUCCCUCUGAGGAGGAGAGAACAAGGUGUGAUGAACUGACCACUGCCCAAAUUCCCCAUCCCCCUGUGCCACUCGGGGAAGGAGAAAGAGAAAUUUGGAAUAAAUUUAAGCCUGGGUAGAGGUAGGGUUGGGAAAAAGGUGUUUUAAGAUUUGGGUUUUAUUUCUCAUUAUCCUACUCUGAUUUGAUCGGUAAUAAAUUAAAUUAUUUUUCCCUAAGCCAAGUCUAUUUUGCCCAUGACAGUAACUGGUGAGUGAUCUCUCCCUGUCCUUAUCUCAACCCAUGACCUUUCAUUGUAUUUUCUGU